rnacentral:tRNA from 1 species
GGAGAGGUGGCCGAGUGGUCGAAGGCGCUCGAUUGCUAAUCGAGUAAGGGGUGAAAGCCCCUUCGUGGGUUCGAAUCCCACUCUCUCCGCCA